AUUGAACGCUGGCGGCAGGCCUAACACAUGCAAGUCGAGCGAGCGGCGGACGGGUGAGUGAUGUCGGGGGAACUGCCUGAUGGAGGGGGAUACCUACGGGAAACGGUAGCUAAUAACGCAUACCAUCAAGUGUGCGUAGAGUGGAUUAGCUAGAAGGUGGGGUAACGGCUCACCUAGGCGACGAUCCAUAGCUGGUCUGAGAGGAUGACCAGCCACACUGGAACUGAGACACGGUCCAGACUCCUACGGGAGGCAGCAGUGGGGAAUAUUGCACAAUGGGCACAAGCCUGAUAGAGCCAUGCCGCGUGAGUGAAGAAGGCCUUCGGGUUGUAAAGCACUUUCGGCGGGGAGGCGUUACCCGCAGAAGAAGCACCGGCUAACUCCGUGCCAGCAGCCGCGGUAAUAC
rnacentral:rRNA from 1 species